GUCCGUCCGCCCCAGCCCCUGAGGAGGUCUGUGCACGUGACUGGUGCAGCUAGGAUGCUGGGACGUGUUCAGUUGAGGGAUCGCAUGACACAUGCGGGAUACUGUUGAAGUUGGGUCUGAUUUGGAGUGGUUCGGUACCAUAAGACUCACACAGAUGAUGUAAUCUCCCAUUGAAUGCUACAGGUUGCCAGACCCUCUCGUUUGGCCUGGCUGGGGUGCAGUGAGGCAUGACAAACAGGAGCAGAGGGAAAGACUUCAUUCCAAAAUGUGC